CUUAACAAUAUAGAAACAAACUUUGCGUAGACACGUGAUGAAUUGGCGGUGGAAACAGUGCUGGUCAGAAUGUAAGCAAUAUUUGAAGUACUUUAGUACCAGAUGUGUUCCAAAGAAAGUCCUCCAAGUAUUUUCAAUACGCCCUUUUUGGUAUGGCCUUGCGCUCUCCCGGCGAGCUAAUUUCUAGUCGUAGCAAACCUCCACCCUUUCAUGGGUCUUGGGAAUAGGAAAAAGUCACAGAGGCCAAAGUCCGACAUAUACGGUGACUUGGGCACGAUUGCGGUCUUGUUUUUGGCCAAAAAAUUACGAGCAAGCAAGGACUUGUGAGCAUUCGCAUUAUCGUGGCGCAAUAUCCAUGAAUUGAGGUUUGUAGAAAAGUAUAUUGCAUUUUCAAGUGCUUUUGUCACAUCGCUUUACGCAAAGUACCUUACUGGCGACCUUCUGACACUUUGGCUUUCAAUUUUUGAGACUUUUUGAUCACAUUUGGCACAUUGACGCUUUUUGAAAAUUGCUUGGAUCCGACAA